rnacentral:rRNA from 1 species
CCUACGGGUGUCAGCAGUGAGGAAUAUUGGUCAAUGGACGAGAGUCUGAACCAGCCAAGUAGCGUGAAGGAUGACUGCCCUGUGGGUUGUAAACUUCUUUUAUAUGGGAAUAAAACGUUCCACGUGUGGGCUUUUGUAUGUACCAUAUGAAUAAGGAUCGGCUAACUCCGUGCCAGCAGCCGCGGUAAUACGGAGGAUCCGAGCGUUAUCCGGAUUUAUUGGGUUUAAAGGGAGCGUAGGUGGAUUGUUAAGUCAGUUGUGAAAGUUUGCGGCUCAACCGUAAAAUUGUAGUUGAAACUGGCAGUCGUGAGUAGAGGAGAGGUAGGCGGAAUGCGUGGUGUAGCGGUGAAAUGCUUAGAUAUCGCGAAGAACUCCGAUUGCGAAGGCAGUUCACUGGCCUGCAACUGACGCUGAGGCUCGAAAGUGUGGGUAUCAAACAGGAUUAGAUACCCUAGUAGUC